GACGAACGCUGGCGGCGUGCUUAACACAUGCAAGUCGAGCGGCAAGGAGUCCUUCGGGACUCCCUAGAGCGGCGAACGGGUGAGUAACACGUGGGUAACCUGCCCUAAGGACUGGGAUAACAUUCGGAAACGGAUGCUAAUACCGGACAUGCUUCAGUGGCGCAAGCUGUUGAAGUAAAGGUAGCUUCGGCUUCUGCCUUAGGAUGGGCCCGCGGCCUAUCAGCUUGUUGGUGAGGUAACGGCUCACCAAGGCGACGACGGGUAGCUGGUCUGAGAGGACGAUCAGCCACACUGGGACUGAGACACGGCCCAGACUCCUACGGGAGGCAGCAGUGGGGAAUCUUGCGCAAUGGGCGAAAGCCUGACGCAGCAACGCCGCGUGGAGGAAGAAGGCCCUCGGGUUGUAAACUCCUGUCAGGGGGAAAGAAGGCACCUGGGUUAAUAGCCCAAGGGCUGACGGUACCCCCAAAGGAAGCCACGGCUAACUACGUGCCAGCAGCCGCGGUAAUACGUAGGUGGCGAGCGUUGUCCGGAAUCAUUGGGCGUAAAGAGCGCGUAGGCGGCUUGUCAGGUCUGAUGUG
rnacentral:rRNA from 1 species